UGAACGCGAUUCCUAGAAAAUUAGAUUACGAAAAGAAAUAAACAAAUUGCAAAACAUUUAACUGCUACAUUGCGCAUGUCCGUUUUCCAAGAAAAAGAGGAUCUACACUAGGCUGCGUUGUAGUAUAAAAUGUUCCUAUUGCGCCGCAUCUUGAAUAUUCACAGGAAACAGUUAUUUCAAGUUAGAAACAUAUUUCUUUUAUAGCUGUGGAUUUAAAUUUCUUAUAAAAUCCGAGCUGAUCUGGAAAAUAUCUAAAUGUGAACCAUUUGUUAUACUAAAGCGCACAUGUGAACAAAUCAACAUAAACGAGUACUGUAAAAACAAACAGAGCAAAAUUUAGUAUAUAUAUAUAUAUAUAUUUUAAAUCGAGAAAAAAUAGAUAACACAGAUAUGACUUUUGUAACACUGAUUUUGAUAUUACUGUUGACGACAUGUGCCUGGAAUGUUGAUGGAAAGUCGUUAAUGAAGCGGAGACUAAACACAUUGGAGACAAGAGUGAACAGUAUUGAAGAAGACAUCGAAGCCUUAAAUAGUUCAUUCGUCAUUCUUGAAGAUCAGUCGUGCGAGUGUUCAAAUGUGAGAUCUGAAAGUGACGGACAAAUAAAGCAGAAUCUGGGACAGUCUGUUGUUGUUUCCAAACAGAGCGAAACUCUUAAAAAAAGGAUUUUUGGAUGAAAAGAGAUGGCUUAGAGAAAAAGUUAAAAGCAUUGAAAACGAAAUGGGUAAAGUGGCAAGUCAGGUGGAAAAUAAUGACGAUAUGAUUGCGGAAACGGUGACAAGAAUGCAGGUCAAGGAAAAUGACCUAGACAGAAAAUUGAAUGAGGCCAUUACAGAGGUAAUGGCAAAUUGCAGUGCUGAAAUCAGAAAGAGGGACGAGAAAAUGGAUAGGCAACAGGCUGAAGUAGACGAUUUAAAACAGAUGAUUAAUGAAAUGAAAGAAGUGCCAGAGAAUCUACCUUGUCCUGAUGGCUGGACAAAGUUUCAAUCAUUUCGUUACUUAUAUGUUAAGGAAAUAAAGACCUAUGUCUCAGCACGUGAAACAUGCCUUAAACUGGGGGCGAGUGUAGCGGACAUUUAAAGUUCGUCCGAAAACGGUUUUGUUUACAAGUUAUGUGAAGAAAACGGACAUACGUGGACUGGUGGGAAUGUAGGUAAUGUGUGGAUAGGGCUCACCGAUGAAGAAACGGAAGGUGUCUGGAUAUCUGAUAGAACCAAAGAAAAGAGUACAUACAUGAACUGGAGACCUGGUCAACCGGAUGACGUUUCUUACAAAAACUGCCUCAUGAUGGGAUGGAAAGCCCCGUUUGACAAAUGGAAUGACUGGCGAUGCGACAAUACUGAUCUUCAAGCUCUGUUCGUUUGCAAGAAGGAAUUAUAAUACAUGCGAAAGAGUCCAUUGUUACAUAUAGAUACAUCCAUUAAUUUUGUCUUUUGUUCUCCGUUAUUACUUAUGCAUAUCUAUGACGACACUUUUAGAGUGUGAGUUAUUACACCUGUAUAAGUACUUACCUCUUAUCAACAUUAACCGAUUUUUAAAAUAGUGUAUAUAUAUUUUGCCAAGGUUUGAGAAUGAUCGCUAAAGCGUUUGUUUCACUCAAAUAAUCAAUGUAUUACAAUGUAUUCCUCAUAGAUAUGUUAUACAUGUCGUUACUGAAGUUGAUGUAACAUUUUUAGUUUAAAGAUAUACUAGAUCCAAAUUCUAUUUUUAAUUAAAGAUAUGAUCCACUACAAUAUCAUAGUUUAUUUCAACAUGUCAACAAAUUCAUGUGCAUCAUCAGUACUGUGCAUUAUGUUUAAAACAGUAUAUAUCAAUACAUUUAUAUCUAAACGCAGUAUAAAUGUGUAUUACAUUAAAAAAACUGGAAGUUUAUUUAACAAACGACCGUUCCUGCAUUCAGUGAUCAUGAAAUUAUCAGGUCGAUAAAUCCACAAAUCGACCGAACCUAAAAGGCAACAAUUGUUUUAUUAUUAAAUCCAGCUUACUUAUAAGUAUAAAAAUCGAAUAUAAAUAUU
rnacentral:lncRNA from 1 species